rnacentral:rRNA from 1 species
UACGGAGGGUGCGAGCGUUAAUCGGAAUUACUGGGCGUAAAGCGCGCGUAGGCGGUUUGUUAAGUCAGCUGUGAAAGCCUCGGGCUCAACCUGGGAACUGCAGUUGAUACUGACCGACUAGAGUACGAGAGAGGGAGGUAGAAUUCCAUGUGUAGCGGUGAAAUGCGUAGAUAUAUGGAGGAAUACCGGUGGCGAAGGCGGCCUCCUGGCUCGAUACUGACGCUGAGGUGCGAAAGCGUGGGGAU